GACAGAGGUGCCGAGCGUUAGGCGGAAUCACUGGGCUUAAAGCGUGUGUAGGCGGGUCGUUUAAGUGUCUUGUGAAAUCCCCCGGCUCAACCGGGGAAUGGCUGGGCAUACUGGCGAUCUUGAGCAGUCUAGGGGCAGAUGGAACAAGUGGUGGAGCGGUGAAAUGCGCAGAUAUCAGGAGGAACACCGGUGGCGAAGGCGGCGAUCUGGACGAUGACUGACGCUGAGACGCGAAAGCGUGGGGGAGCAAACAGG
rnacentral:rRNA from 1 species